rnacentral:rRNA from 1 species
UAUGUGAUCGUCUCUCGCAUAUCAAUAAGCGGAGGAAAAGAAACUAACAAGGAUUCCCCUAGUAACGGCGAGUGAAGCGGGAAGAGCUCAAAUUUGAAAUCUUAAAGGGUUUCCCUUUACGAAUUGUAGUUUAAAGAAGUGUUUUCUGUUGAGGUUUUGGUAAAAGUUCUUUGGAAUAGGACAUCAUAGAGGGUGAGAAUCCCGUAUUUGACCUUUACUUUCAACUUUGUGAUACACUUUCAAAGAGUCGGAUUGUUUGGGAAUGCAGUCCAAAAUGGGUGGUAAAUUUCAUCUAAAGCUAAAUAUUGGCGAGAGACCGAUAGCGAACAAGUACCGUGAGGGAAAGAUGAAAGAACUUUGAAAAGAGAGUUAAACAGUACGUGAAAUUGUCAAAAGGGAAGCGUUUGACACCAGUGUUGUUUUUCUGAAAAUCAAUUAAAGAACUGUUUAUGCUAAGCUGUUUAGACUUUAUCAGCUAACUGUUUAGUUUUGAGCUUUUCUUUAAUGCACUUUUCAGUUAACAAGUCAACAUCAAUUUCUUUUGCUGUAAAAAAGCUUGAGGAAGGUGGCUUGAGAUUCGUCUUAAGUGUUUAUAGCCUCUUGCCUAUGCAGUCGGAGAGAUUGAGGUCUGCAGCGUAGAUCCUUCGGGGCUAAAUGCAUUUGUGCUAAGUUAUAGCAUUUUAUAGACAACUUGUUGACUAUGAUUUGUCUUGUAGCUUACUCGCUUAUGUUAUUUUACCUACGCUUAGGAUGUUGAGCGCAUGUCUCUCUCU